rnacentral:rRNA from 1 species
CAUGUCCUUUUGAGUAUAAUUUAAGGUCUAAUCUGCUCAAUGAUGAUUUAAAUAGCCGCGAUAUUUUGAUCGUGCGAAGGUAGCAUAAUCAUUAGUUUCUUAAUUAGAAGCUGGAAUGAAUGAUUGGACGAGAUAAAAGCUGUCUCUUAAAUAAUUUUAGAAUUUUAUUUUUAAGUUAAAAAGCUUAGAUUUUUUAAAAAGACGAGAAGACCCUUUAGAGUUUUAUGAAUUUAAAAGUUAAUAAUUUUAAGAAUUAAUUAUUUUUAAUUUUGGCUUCAUUUGGUUGGGGUGACUGAAAAAUUUAAUGAACUUUUUUUGUUUAUAAUAUUGAUGGAUAGAUUAAUGAUUUAUUUUAAUAAUUAUAAGAUUAAAUUACCUUAGGGAUAACAGCGUUAUUUUAUUUGAGAGUUCUUAUCGAAAAUAGAGUUUGCGACCUCGAUGUUGGAUUAAAAUUUAAUUUAGGUGUAGAAGCUUAAAUUUUUAGUCUGUUCGACUAUUAAAAUUUUACAUGAUCUGAGU